ensembl:lncRNA
GUUUUAUUUUUAAACCUGAUAAUUUAUAUACAAUUUCUCCAUAUAUUUUUAACAAUAUAUAUUUUGUUAACGUUAAAAAAACCGUACCAUAUAUUUAUUUUCUUACUUACAUGGUUGAACAAAUAAAAAUAUAUAAAUAUAUAAAAAAAAAAAUAAUAAAAAUAGCUGAUGAAUUAAUAGUUGAAACUAUUAACUUUUUUAAAAAACAAAGAGAGGUUAUUAAAGUCGUUGGAAAAAAAAAAAAAUAAAAUAACACAUUGCCACUUUGAUGUAAAACAAAAUGGGAAAAAUGGGAAAAAUGGGAAAAAUGGGAAAAAUGGGCAAAGCGAAAAAAGCGAUAAAAAUGAGCAAUAUAAGCAACAUGAACAAAAUCGUGCCUCUGUUUUAUACAAUCAGACGAUGGAAUAUGCUACAAAUAAAUUGAACGAAUUCGGGAUAGGUACUAGUGAUAAUCUGAUAACAUCCUCAACAAAUAAACACAUGGAUAGUGAAGAUGCCAAAGUCGUAAGAAUUGGUGACGACAUUUACAAUGAGUAUAGCAAUUUAGACAACUCCAGGGUAGAAGAAGGAGGAGGAAACAAAAGAAAAAAAGAAAAAAAAAAACGGUAUAAAUAAUGGUAUAAAUAAUGGUAUAAAUAAUGGUAUAAAUAAUAGUAGCAACAUAAAUAAUGACAGUGAUGAAGAAUUUUUUAACGAAACAAAUAAAGGGAUCUUAAAUAUUUUGCAUUAUAAUGAUACAUAUACUACUAUACAUAUAAAUAGUCUAAUUAGUACGUUUGUAAAAUUAAUUAUACAUUUUUUAACCGAAUUAAAAGAUAAAAAAGAAUAUACUAAAAAAAUUAUUGACAAUCAUAUAAAUAAUAUUAUUACCAUCAGUUUUAUUUACACAUUUACAUGUUUUUUAAAUACUAAAAUAAGAAAUUCUUUUGAAAGUUAUAUCUUUAAAAGCAUAAAUAAUAUAUCUAUUAUUCCAAGAAAUACUUCUUUUAUAUAUAUUUACUACAACAUAGAAUCCAAUAAAAUAUUAAAACAUGAUAAUAUUCAUAUUAAUGAAAAUAUAAAUAUAAAUACAAAAAAAUUAAUAAACAAUUAUUUAUUUUUUAAUAAUGAAUAUUUUCUUUUUAAUGAUUCUAAUACCUUAUCAAUAAAAAGAUUUUUUGAAAUAAGUUUUAAUUUAGGUAUGCCAUUUGCCGUAAUGGGAAAUCCCUGUUCGGCUAAAUCAUUGUGUGUUAAAAACUGUCUAGAAUCAUAUUUAAAAAAACAAAUAAAAAAUAAUAAUAAUAAUAUAUAUUAUUUUAAUUUUCGAUUUAAUUAUAUGUUUAAGUAUACACAAAUCGUUAAUAAAUUGAAAAAAAUAUUUCAAUUCACGAGUGAGUACAUACCUGAAGAUGUACUUAUAUUUAUUGAUGACAUUAAUUGCCUGGGUUCGGAGCGUACUCAGUAUACUAUGGACUUUCUCUACAAUUUGGCUGUUUCGAAGAGUUACCUGGUGACUAACGAAAACAGAAAAGUGUAUCUGCCUAACAACAAAAUCGUUUGUACUUUAGAUAAUGAACAUAUUGUAGUCGAAGAAAAUGAUACACAUAAUGUUUCCAAACUUUAUAAAAAGUUUUUAGUUCUAAACUUAUCGAGCAUAGGAUUAAAAGACAUACAUAACAUCUACUCAAACAUUAUUGAGUUUUUAUUUAUGAAACAUAACUUUUGCGACGAACUGAUCAUCGAGUGCAACAACGUAAUCUCAUGUAUCCUAAAACAUCCGAAGAAAUAAGUCAUAAAAGAAAAGAAAAUACAUUUUCCAUACAUACGAACAAACUAACAAAUGUAAUAAAUUAUUUGCUUUUAUACA